CGGCAAGAGCUCAAAUUUGAAAGCUGGCUCCUUCGGGGUCCGCAUUGUAAUUUGUAGAGGAUGCUUCGGGAGCGGUCCCCAUCUAAGUGCCCUGGAACGGGACGUCAUAGAGGGUGAGAAUCCCGUAUGGGAUGGGGUGUCCGCGCCCGUGUGAAGCUCCUUCGACGAGUCGAGUUGUUUGGGAAUGCAGCUCUAAAUGGGUGGUAAAUUUCAUCUAAAGCUAAAUAUUGGCCGGAGACCGAUAGCGCACAAGUAGAGUGAUCGAAAGAUGAAAAGCACUUUGAAAAGAGAGUUAAAAAGCACGUGAAAUUGUUGAAAGGGAAGCGCUUGCGACCAGACUCGCUCGCGGGGUUCAGCCGGCAUUCGUGCCGGUGUACUUCCCCGCGGGCGGGCCAGCGUCGGUUUGGGCGGUCGGUCAAAGGCCCUCGGAAGGUAACGCCCCCAGGGGCGUCUUAUAGCCGAGGGUGCAAUGCGACCUGCCUAGACCGAGGAACGCGCUUCGGCUCGGACGCUGGCAUAAUGGUCGUAAACGACC
rnacentral:rRNA from 1 species